UACGUAGGGGGCAAGCGUUGUCCGGAUUUAUUGGGCGUAAAGAGCGUGUAGGCGGCCAGAUAGGUCCGUUGUGAAAACUCGAGGCUCAACCUCGAGACGCCGAUGGAAACCAUUUGGCUAGAGUCCGGAAGAGGAGAGUGGAAUUCCUGGUGUAGCGGUGAAAUGCGCAGAUAUCAGGAGGAACACCGAUGGCGAAGGCAGAUCUCUGGGCCUUACCUGACGCUGAGGAGCGAAAGCUGGGGGAGCGAACAGG
rnacentral:rRNA from 1 species